UCCCAAUUUUAUUUUUUGCCUUGACCCCAACACUACUACAAAAUAACCUCUCGGCUCUCUCUGUGCUACAAAUGGCGGGGCUCGUUCGAAAGCUCAACGGAGUUGCAAGGGGUGUGACGGGGCUCGACUAUGUUUCAGAUGUUAUAGAGAGGGUGCUCUCGAUUGCGAAGGGCUUGCGAGAAGAUGACUGCGACGGUGCUCGGGGCAACGACGUGGGUUGGGUCUCUCAACGGGGUUGGGCGGAGUGACGUGGGUUGGGGCUCUUAACGGUGGCAGCUGCAACAAGGUGAGCAAUGGGUCCUCCUCCAUAUUUGUAAACCCCUUCUUCAUUCCUUCAAUAUUUUCAUUUUUUUUAUUUUUUCUGUGUUUUGAAGAGUGCUUGCCUCCAUUCACGAUUUGGGUUUCUAUGAGUUUUGCUCUGUUUUGGUUUCAUUUGCAUUUAUAUUGAUUUCUUCUUUAUUUUCACUUAUCAUGAUGUGUUAGAUUGAUAUGUGGCAGCUGCACCUAUCAUGAUGCUUUAGAUAAUUAGUUUGCAUGUUUGUAUUCGAUGUUUAUUUGGGAUCAAAAUAUAUUGAUAGAGUUACCAUAGUAAGAUUGUAUCAAGAAUAAGUUGUGAUCCACUGCUAAUAUGGCUUUUCAAGUUUUUGAUUUUGUUUUUAUGAGAAGACUACACUUUAUAUGGUUGCUAGUUUUAACUCUGAAAAUCAUUCAGAAUCUAAAAGCUAUAGAGGGUUAUAAGAAUCUCUUGAACACUGAUAUGGGAAAAGAACCUAACCAUAUAACUAUUUGUAGACAAGAUUUCAUGAAGCUGUUGUUGCCUACAAGAAGAUAAUUGGAAUUAAUGAUAUCUUGUGUUUUUAGAUUAUUAACUAAUGAUUAAAAGAUCAUUGCAACUGUACGUUAACUGUCUUCCAUCUUAAUGCAUUUAAUCAGUAGAAUAAAGAGUUGAAUACUUAUGUGAUAUGUUUCAUUGUAGAUUUCAUAUUUGUUGGUGAAUUGUGAAAUUGUGCCUACGCGUCAUUGAAAUGCUCUUACAGGAAAUAAAUACUGACUAACAAAGAGCUGCAACUUGGUUGCUUGUUCCAAUAGGCUCACAUUUUCCUGAGCAAGUAAGUGUGUUGUUGAAGCUUAUCCUGACUACUUUCAUAAUAGGGUAGUUCCAAUAGGCUGACAGGAAAUAAAUACUGACUAACAAAGAGCUGCAACUUGGUUGCUUGUUCCAAUAGGCUCACAUUUUCCUGAGCAAGUAAGUGUGUUGUUGAAGCUUAUCCUGACUACUUUCAUAAUAGGGUAGUUUUGGCGGUGCCCACACAUUGAACAAUAACACUUAUUGUGUUUAUUUUUCCUAUUUGUGAUUUGUCUAAACUAGUUUAUAGCAUAUAAGCUCAAACAUAUGACAUAUUUACUUAGUUUGCUUGUGCAACAGUUCCCUUUAUCUUGUAGGUUAAUAUUAUGAUUGGUCUUAAAGCAUUGGAUUUGUAGCUAAUUGCAAGAGGUGUGUUGUAUCUUAUUUUUUUUAUUUUAAAUUUCAAUCUUUUACAAUUUUGAAUAACUGCAUAACUUUAGUGGAGUUUGAAUAUUUUAUAUAUUCAUCUGUAGUGAAGUAGGUUCUGAGAAUUUUGUGUUGUAUAUGUUUAUAUAAAGAUUGGAUUAAUGUUUUGUAGUUUUUCCAAAUGGUAUUUGGCAUUUUAACAAGACAAGCAAAAUAGGCAAUGCUUCACUGAAUAAUUGUCAAGUUAUGAACCAAAAUAGACAAAGCAUCACUGAUUAGUUACCAUUGCAUCUCUUCAAGUUGUGAAACUAUUGAGUAUGGAAAAAUAUUAAAAGAACAAGAGAGUAAACUUAUGACUUGGACUGAGACAUUGGUAGCAAGAGAGUUGUGUAACAAUUGUGGGUAAACUUAUUUAUUUAUAUUACAAUAAAAAUCUAGUUAUAAUUUUUCAUGUUUGUUCUAUUAUAAUGUGAUUUUUCAUGUUUGAGGGAUGAUUUUAGAAAGAAAUUCAUGGCAGUCAAUUCUUACUUUGGGAAGACUAUUGGUGACAAGGGUGAGUACAAGGACAAGAAGAAGAAAUAUAUGUUGUUUGACAAUAAAUUUAGUGUUUUAUUUUAUUUGUAAUUUUUAUUAGAGUAAAUGAUUCUUUUUUUAGUGGUUAAUUAUUUACUUUGUAAAUCUAGUUAUAUAUUUUUUAAGGUCAAGACGAUUAUGUUUAUAGACAAGACUAUAUGAUUUUUGAGUCAAGUAAGUGUUCUAUUUGUCCAAAAUUUGUUUUAUUAGAUUUGUAAAUACUUUAUAUAAGUUUUGUUAUUUUAAUCUAUAAUUUUUUAGAUUUGUAUAUAAACGUUUUAUUUAAAUCAUAAUUUAAAAUAAAUAUAAAUAUUUUUUUUACAAGCAACGGCGACACCUAAUAACUGUGGGCGUUGCCAAUAAUGGCAGUAACGACAACACCUAAUAAAUGUCGGCGUAGCUACCCCUACGCCGGCAUAGGCAAAUACGACAGUUAGUCGACUGUUGUCAUUGCUCAAUAGCGACAGUUAAAAACUGUCGGGAAAUCCCGUUUUUGUAGUAGUGUAGAUAGAAUUUCUAUAUUUAUGCUAUAAAAUGGUAAGACUUAUAUGUUACAAGAAAUAAUGUACUAUUUAAAUGACGAUGCUAUGUUUUGAUAAUAAACCAAGUGAUAUGGAAAAGUAUAAUUCUAUCUUAAUAUGUUAUGAAAGUAUGAUGCAACAUGAAUUUUCUUUGUUUUGAUGUGAUUUGGAUUUCAUGUGUUUGUAUGAUGAAUGAAAAGAGAAGGUUGAUAGCGUGCUGAACGCAACACAGCAAAAGAGUUACUAAGGAUAUGACAUAACUCAAAGGGCGGACGCGAUGAGGUUAUUCAAGGACCUGAGAUCCUGUUUACCUCAUACAGGAGGUUUUACCAGCCCAGUUAUACUGGUUACCUCAAAGAUGUGACAUGGACAACAGAGGUAAUAAAUAGGGUUUCUCUCUGGCACGCACUGUAAUGUGGGGAGUUCUGACGUCUGAGUGUGUAUGGCGUGGGGGUUUCCUAUGAACGAAUAAACGAUCAACAUAAGCGCUGAGAUUUAAAUAAACUAUGUUAUGGACUUUAUUUUUAAAUAUGUCAGUAGGACUUAAACUUUUAUUUUUUUUAAACAUUGCAUAUGAAUACUUUAUUUUUAUUUUUAAACUACUGAGUCCAAACUUGGAUGUUUUAUCAAGGCCCCACUGAGUUUAUCUUUUAAGUGGUUUUUGUCUAAUUAUCUAUGAGAUAAGUGAUGCUUUUACAAAGUAAUAGAAUUGAGCGCUUUACAAUUAUUAUCUUUUUCUUGAUAUUGAAAUUUUCAUUUAUUAAUGCAACAUAUUGAAUCAUAUUUGUUAAUAUUGCCUUUGUAACAAAUCGAUAUGCUUUCUCCUAUUGUUUUUACCAAUUAUGAGGUUGGUGUAAUAUGUGAGAAUAAUGUACAAAUUAGGGUAAAGGAAGCAUUUUUAUUGAUAUUGUUUGUAAUUUGCGAAUUGGUUUAUGGUCUCUUUCAAUUUGCGACACCAGUUUAUUGGAAUAAUUUAUAGAUUUAAAAGGAAUGAUUUAUUUUUUCUUAUUAUUUUUAAAAUAGAUUUUGGGAGAUGAAAAGAGUGGAAAUGGAUUAAGCAAACAAUGAUAUUCUCGGAAAAGCAGUUGAGAAGAGUCUUAGUAGCAUUCUAGCUAGUGAGUUUUAUUUAAAGAUGACCGUUAGAUUUAAAAUUGUUUAUAAAUCUUAUUAUUUGCAUAGAUUGAUGUGGUAAAUAACUUAAAUGUAUCAAAAACUAUAUUUUAUGCUAUAAGAGAAUUUGAAAACUAAUUUUGGUGGGGCUUUAAUAUGAUUUAUGCUUAGUUGUGGCAGAGGAGGUCAUUCGUAGUAAUCAGUUGGAGGAUGCCAAUAGGGUCCUCUUGUGGGGUGCCAAUGGUAUGUGGCUUGAGAGCUAUUGAUGAGGUCUAUGACCUUUUACUAGUUGAAGAUUGCGAAAUGGGUAUUGGUUUCUACUAAAUAGCGAUGCAGACAUUUUGAGAUUGGUGGGGACAAAAAUGGAAGGGCACUUCUCUUUGUUUGUUUUUUAUGAGUUUUAGAUUUGCUUGAAUGAUUUCAUUUUGUAUACUUUUAGAUCUGAUUUUGAUUUACAAGCGAGGGUUCGGCAUGGCAAACAAUAUUGCCCAUUUUGGAUUGUACAGAACUUGAUGGGCCAUUCUAUACAAGAGAUGAUUGCAGCUCUUUAUUCUUCAGACACAGACAAUCUAAGUGAAGAUGAUGGCUCAAUGGCUGUAGAGAAUGACAACUACGUUUAAAGAUACAGCAUAUGUAGCUUCAUACCAUGGCGGAGAUGGUGGUGGUCAAGAUCCAAUGGAUCCUACUACGAUCCCAUCCAAUUGUGAGUCAGUAGCUCCACCAAAGAGAAAAGGUCUUGGGCCUCUUGCUCGGAAAAAUUUAGACGACAAAAGGUGAGAAGCUAGACAUCCACUCCCCAUAGUGGUUGACCCUAUCACGUACAAGGUGGUGGGAACGGAACAUGAUGCUUUUGUCCAUCUUUUGGGCACCCAAGUCACAUCCGUGGUUCCAGGAUAUUACAAGGAUUGGACUAGUGUCCCAAAACAGUAUAAGGACAAUGUCGUUAGUAAAAUGAAGAUGGGCGGCCAGAUUAUACUACCCUCAUUGACAGUAUCAAUGCUGAGAUGGCUGAGAGAAACCGAUAUAGGAAAACUAAGCGGCAUGCCCACUUUAAAAAGUUCUACAAAGGACCAGAUGAUUGGGACGAGGUCCUAAAGAAUCCACCCAAAGAUGUCAACACCGAUGAGUGGAAACAAAAUUUGUGAGUUUUUGAGAAGUCCAGAGUUUAUUGCGCGCUCCGUGAAGAACAAAAUAAAUUGCGACCAAAUUAAGUACUCUACAACACAAGGCAUGAAAUCACUAGCGGCCACUCAUCACAAAAAAUUGAACCCGAACCUAAUUGAGGAAUGGAAGGAGUAUCACUGGACAAAAACGAACAAGAAUUUUGUCAACGAGGAUGCAGAACAAGAUUCUCUAAGCUUAACUAUAUUACCAAUUCCAAUAAGUAUAUUUUUCUUUUGUAUUAUAAUUUUUUUUUAAAAUAGGUUAAGUUGAAGUCAACUCUUGAAGCUGAGACUCAGUAGACAGUUGAAUCUGGUACUGAUGAUUCUUCCUUGGUCGAUCAAAUGAAGAUACUAAGUCAGGUUCUUGGUGAAAGGUGGGGCCACCAGCGAGGAGUUGGCUGCAAAUUAAAGGGAAAAGCGUUAAACUACCCCUCUCAAAACACUCAGUCUCAGGCACCACCUCAACAUUCGACUGAGGAAAUACGUGAAUUGGUUGACAUUGUGAAGGUCAUGAAUGAACAGCUUCAAUACGUGUAUCAAGAGCUUCCACCUGAAAAACGUCUGGCAACAAAUAUGGAAAUGCAUAAUACAUAUCAGCGGUUUUUCGAGAAGUAUGUUGGCCCAUCUUCUGAAACUCAGACACAACACACGUCUCAAGCUUCAGCUUCUCAGCCUUCACUAGGCCAUCCCGACACCCCUGCACCAACUUUGUCAUCACAACCUUUGACACAGCCAUAUAUGUGUCAAUGGCUGAUGCCUCCAUACCCUCAGGCUUAUCAUCCUCAUAUGAGCGGGCAUUCGUCCCAACCCCCGCCUCCUCAUAUGAGUGGGUCGUUGUCUCAACCUCUGCCCUAUCCAUAUCCAUACAUGUUUGGAGCUAGAGGAUCAUCGUUACCUCCACAAUAUCCAUGAGCAAUGCCUCCACACACACCACAGGCACCGCAGCCACCGCAGGCACCAAAAGAAGGGGACAAUACAGAGGACGUCGAAGGUUGAUAUGUUUUAUAUGUUAUUGUAUUAAACAAUAACUUUUAAUUAAUAAAUUAUUGUGUGGAUAUUUACUUUGGAUA